UGAUUUCUUUAUCAUAGGUGCAUACAGCAGUCAGCAGAGUAGUGGAGUACUUGGAGGUAACUACAGGUGUACAGUUCCCCUCAGCAAUUAUUCUUCUCCAUGGCUAUCUGCAUUUUGAGGCCCUAACUGACCAUGAAUACAAGUAUUCAUGUGUAUCUUGUGGUGACCAUCCAUCUGUGUCUUUCAUGUUACCUGUAUCUUUCCUUUUUACUGCAGAGAGCCUCCACAAGAUUUUAAUGGAGAGGUGGAUUUAGAUAUGUUUGGAAGGCACUGACAGAAGAACGAAUUGCUCGAGGAUUUUUUUCAAGU